GUAGAUAUUCGGAGGAACACCAGUGGCGAAGGCGGCUCACUGGCUCGAUACUGACGCUGAGGUGCGAAAGUGUGGGGAGCAAACAGGAUUAGAUACCCUGGUAGUCCACACCGUAAACGAUGAAUGCCAGUCGUCAGCAGGCAUGCCUGUUGGUGACACACCUAACGGAUUAAGCAUUCCGCCUGGGGAGUACGGUCGCAAGAUUAAAACUCAAAGGAAUUGACGGA
rnacentral:rRNA from 1 species